UACGUAGGGUGCAAGCGUUGUCCGGAAUUAUUGGGCGUAAAGAGCUCGUAGGCGGUUUGUUGCGUCUGCUGUGAAAACCCGAGGCUCAACCUCGGGCCUGCAGUGGGUACGGGCAGACUAGAGUGCGGUAGGGGAGAUUGGAAUUCCUGGUGUAGCGGUGGAAUGCGCAGAUAUCAGGAGGAACACCGAUGGCGAAGGCAGAUCUCUGGGCCGUAACUGACGCUGAGGAGCGAAAGCAUGGGGAGCGAACAGG
rnacentral:rRNA from 1 species